rnacentral:rRNA from 1 species
AGAGUUUGAUCCUGGCUCAGAUUGAACGCUGGCGGAAUGCCUUACACAUGCAAGUCGAACGGCAGCACGGAGAGCUUGCUCUCUGGUGGCGAGUGGCGAACGGGUGAGUAAUAUAUCGGAACGUAUCCAAUAAUGGGGGAUAACGAGUCGAAAGAUUCGCUAAUACCGCAUACGCCCUACGGGGGAAAGCAGGGGAUCGUAAGACCUUGCGUUAAUGGAGCGGCCGAUAUCUGAUUAGCUUGUUGGUGAGGUAAAGGCUCACCAAGGCGACGAUCAGUAGCUGGUUUGAGAGAACGACCAGCCACACUGGAACUGAGACACGGUCCAGACUCCUACGGGAGGCAGCAGUGGGGAAUUUUGGACAAUGGGGGCAACCCUGAUCCAGCCAUUCCGCGUGAGUGAAGAAGGCCUUCGGGUUGUAAAGCUCUUUCGCAAGGGAAGAAAACUUAUGAUCGAAUAAAUCAUGAGGUUGACGGUACCUUGAUAAGAAGCACCGGCUAACUACGUGCCAGCAGCCGCGGUAAUACGUAGGGUGCGAGCGUUAAUCGGAAUUACUGGGCGUAAAGCGUGCGCAGGCGGUUUUGUAAGUCGGAUGUGAAAUCCCCGGGCUCAACCUGGGAACUGCGUUCGAAACUGCAAGGCUAGAGUGUGUCAGAGGGGGGUAGAAUUCCACGUGUAGCAGUGAAAUGCGUAGAGAUGUGGAGGAAUACCAAUGGCGAAGGCAGCCCCCUGGGAUAACACUGACGCUCAUGCACGAAAGCGUGGGGAGCAAACAGGAUUAGAUACCCUGGUAGUCCACGCCCUAAACGAUGUCAACUAGUUGUUGGUAGAGUAAAAUCUAUGAGUAACGUAGCUAACGCGUGAAGUUGACCGCCUGGGGAGUACGGUCGCAAGAUUAAAACUCAAAGGAAUUGACGG